UGAUAUUCUAAUGUCCAAAAAAGGAGGAUGGAAGAGACCUGGGUUUUUUCUUUAAAGGUUGAAGCAGCUGCAAUAGACUUGCCCAAUGAUAUUAAAAAGGAUAUUGGAGCAAUUAAAGAAAAGACGGCCCUCAGUAAUACUUCCCAGGUUUCAUACAGAGCCUUGAGUGCUGGGACAGGACUUGAGGAGUUUAGUCAGUGCUGCAGACAUUAAGGAAGAGUAAUGAUGCUGAAGGAAAAUUAGCAAUUAUUUUCUCACCAUUCCGACACUGUUCGGCUUCACAAAAGCGAAUUCCUUCAGGAACACAGAUAAAGGAAUGGACAUGGGGAAUUCCAUUCUACAGAUUUAAAACACACUUGUAAAGUAUCAUCCACACAAAGGAAAGGAGAGGGCAGGUAGAAUAACUGGAUUGAGAGAAGCCACCUGGUACCUGAUCCUUAGAAAAUGUAAUAUCAGAACAUUCCUGGCACUCCUACCUCUACCUCGUCUGGCCAUUGUACCUCGGCAGUUCACAUGCUCUCCAGCAGAAGCCUGGGUCUCUGUACUGUCAUGGACUGAUACAGGAAGAAUCAUUUCUGUGAAGAACUUACAGUUGACAUUCUGGACAGGGCCAAUAAGCAGGUGCAAUACCACAGAGAGAGGAUUCAGAGCAAGUGGAAAGGCACAGGCAGGCUGCAGAGUGCAGACUCCUGCUGUGCCUUCACCAGGGCCUAAGUUCCCUCCAUGUUACCAUGUGCUGCAUGCCAGGAACACUAUGGACCAUUCGGUGGUUGGAUGGCUCAUGCAACCAGUACUUAGCAGAAGCUGGACAGGGCAAAUCUAUGCCCAGCAUACUUCCAACCUCAUGCUGAUCCCCUCCUCACUGCAUUCCUCCCCCUCUACGCAAACACUCCUGCAGGUCUCCACAGCUGUACAGUUGUGGCAAGCACAUGCUAAACACACAAGAAAAGGAAAGGAGAACGUGCUAGAGGACACACAGAA